rnacentral:rRNA from 1 species
UGGUGGAGUGAUUUGUCUGGUUAAUUCCGUUAACGAACGAGACCUCAGCCUACUAAAUAGUUGGGCGAAUCCUUUUGGAUUCGUGAUCAAACUUCUUAGAGGGACUAUUCGUGUUUAGCGAAUGGAAGUGUGAGGCAAUAACA